rnacentral:rRNA from 1 species
AGUGAACGCUGGCGGUAGGCCUAACACAUGCAAGUCGAACGGCAGCACAGUAAGAGCUUGCUCUUACGGGUGGCGAGUGGCGGACGGGCGAGGAAUACAUCGGAAUCUACUUUUUCGUGGGGGAUAACGUAGGGAAACUUACGCUAAUACCGCAUACGACCUACGGGUGAAAGCAGGGGAUCUUCGGACCUUGCGCGAUUGAAUGAGCCGAUGUCGGAUUAGCUAGUUGGCGGGGUAAAGGCCCACCAAGGCGACGAUCCGUAGCUGGUCUGAGAGGAUGAUCCGCCACACUGGAACUGAGACACGGUCCAGACUCCUACGGGAGGCAGCAGUGGGGAAUAUUGGACAAUGGGCGCAAGCCUGAUCCAGCCAUACCGCGUGGGUGAAGAAGGCCUUCGGGUUGUAAAGCCCUUUUGUUGGGAAAGAAAAGCAGCAGGUUAAUACCCCGCUGUUCUGACGGUACCCAAAGAAUAAGCACCGGCUAACUUCGUG